UUGCGACCAUAUCAUCCUAAAACACCGGUUCCCGUACUAUCACCGAAUUUCAGCAACGUCGAGCCUAUUCAUUACCUGAAUGGGUGACCGAUUGGGAAAACUAGACGCUGGAUG